rnacentral:rRNA from 1 species
UACGUAGGGGCUAGCGUUGUCCGGAUUUAUUGGGCGUAAAGAGCGUGUAGGCGGCCAGACAGGUCAGCUGUGAAACUCGAGGCUCAACCUCGAGACGUCGGUUGAAACCGUCUGGCUAGAGUCCGGAAGAGGAGAGUGGAAUUCCCGGUGUAGCGGUGAAAUGCGCAGAUAUCGGGAAGAACACCCGUGGCGAAGGCGGCUCUCUGGGACGGUACUGACGCUGAGACGCGAAAGCGUGGGAGCGAACAGG